rnacentral:rRNA from 1 species
CGAACGCUGGCGGCGUGCCUCAUACAUGCAAGUCGAACGAGGUAUGGCGGAGUGGCAACACUAUAGCUGUGCUUAAGUGGCGAACGGGUGAGUAACACGUAGGUAACCUGCCUGUCAGAGGGGGAUAACGUUUCGAAAGGGACGCUAAAACCGCAUGAGUUCCCGAGGGAGCAUUUUCUUGGGAAGAAAGGAAGAGAUUCUGCUGACAGAGGGGCCUGCGGCCUAUUAGCUAGUUGGAAAGGUAAGAGCUUACCAAGGCGACGAUAGGUAGCCGAUCUGAGAGGAUGAACGGCCACACUGGAACUGAGAAACGGUCCAGACUCCUACGGGAGGCAGCAGUAGGGAAUAUUCGUCAAUGGGGGGAACCCUGAACGAGCAACGCCGCGUGAGUGAAGAAGGUUUUCGGAUCGUAAAGCUCUGACACCGGGGAAGAUAAUGACGGUACCCGGAGAGGAAGCCACGGCAAACUACGUGCCAGCAGCCGCGGUAAUACGUAGGUGGCAAGCGUUGUCCGGAAUUAUUGGGCGUAAAGCGCGUGUAGACGGUUAUGUAAGCGUGGGUGUAAAAUUCCAGGGCUCAACCCUGGGCAGCAGUAUGAACUGCAUAACUUGAGUACGGGAGAGGCAAGUGGAAUUCCCAGUGUAGCAGUGAAAUGCGUAGAGAUUGGGAGGAACACCAGUGGCGAAGGCGGCUUGCUGGACCGCAACUGACGUUGAGACGCGAAAGCCAGGGGAGCAAACGGGAUUAGAUACCCCGGUAGUCCUGGCCGUAAACGAUGGUUACUAGGUGUAGGGGGUAUCGACCCCUCCUGUGCCGCAGUGAACGCACUAAGUAACCCGCCUGAGUAGUACGAUCGCAAGAUUGAAACUCAAAGGAAUUGACGGGGGCCCGCACAAGCAGUGGAGCAUGUGGUUUAAUUCGACGCGACCCGAAGAACCUUACCAGGUCUUGACAUCUAUCUAAGGGAGUAGAGAUACACCUGUGCCUUUUUAGGAAAGAUAAGACAGGUGGUGCAUGGUUGUCGUCAGCUCGUGUCGUGAGAUGUUGGGUUAAGUCCCGCAACGAGCGCAACCCUUGAUGUCGGUUGCCAGCAGGUAAAGCUGGGCACUCCGGCGUGACUGCCGUAGAGAAUACGGAGGAAGGUGGGGAUGACGUCAAAUCAUCAUGCCCUAUAUGACCUGGGCUACACACGUGCUACAAUGGGGUGAACAACGGGAAGCGAGGCAGCGAUGCCGAGCGGAACCCUAAAAACACCUCUCAGUUCGGAUUGCAGGCUGCAACUCGCCUGCAUGAAGUCGGAAUUGCUAGUAAUCGCGGAUCAGCAAGCCGCGGUGAAUACGUUCCCGGGCCUUGUACACACCGCCCGUCACACCACGAAAGUUGACAACGCCCGAAGUCGGUGGGGUAACCGCAAGGAGCCAGCCGCGGAAGGUG